AACGGUACUGCUCCUCAACCUAAUCUACGUCGUGCCUCAACCCACUCCAGAAAUCGUCAAACUCAGGCGAGUUCACUUACAACACGGGCCCCAUCUCACCACAUCAUCAAGAUUCUAACGGUUUCUGACAAUUUUACCUCUCCCAUGUGCUGGACGCGUUUUGGGAUUUCUUGAGGAUGAAUUCCGAAAAAUGGGGGGCGUGGAUUGAUUUUGAAUCAAUCUUCUCCUUCCAUAUGUCCGGAUUCGUUCCAAAAGGAAUCUUUUUCCGGAUUUCUUGAAGAUGAGAGGAGAAGCUUCGAGAGGUGAGUAUAUAUAGGGGGUUAUCUGAGAGAUUCGGGGUUCUGCUUUUUGGGGAGAGAAUUUGCAAGAAAAUUGAGAAAAAAAGCUAGGGUUUGAAAAGGGUUUUUUCUGAUUUUCCUCUUUCUUCUUUAUUUUCAGAUUCAUAGAUAUACACAUAAGAAAAAAGAUGUUGAGUGUCCUUUCUUUCAUUUGGUUUUGAUUAAUGUUUAAAAGGUCGAAAAUAUAUAGAUGUUCGGUGUCUUCUUUUCGUCUGGGUUUUCUGCCUAAAAAUGAAAUUUGAUUGAAAAGUUGUUGAUUUCGUUGUUGUUCGUGGUUCCGAGUCUAAUUUGCUAUCGUCCUCUCGUUCAGAUUUUAGAUUUAAGUCUCGCUCGACUAAGUUGUUGUAAUUGCUGAAAUCCUAUUAAUUGAAAGCUCUCAUUGAGGUCCAUUUCUGAUUCCCUCUUAAUCUUUUUGAUGUAAUUUUAAUAUGAUAGGUGUUUGGGGUAAUUGAUUAGUAUAUAUUUAAAUGUGGUUUGCCUAGUGCUGAGUUGAUUUUGUUUUCCUCAAAUUAUAUUGAGAUGCACUGUUCUCUUCCUUGCGCUGGAACUCUAUUUUAAUUUCGAAUCUGAUUGUUUUUUCGAAUGUGUUUGAUCAAAGUCAGAUCUGAUUUUUGGUCUAUUGAAUUAGUGAAACACGCCAUAUUGUUGUUAGAAUCACUUUUGAUUGACUCUUUGAUAAAGAAAAGUUAUUACUGUUCAAAUGAUCCACAUAAUGGCUAACUGAAAACUUGAACAGUGGUGUUUUGAACUAAAUGGUUAGUUUUGUCGUUCUUUAUUCUUUACUUUCAUCCAGGUUCACCUCUGAGAUUAUUUUAAUUAGCUCAAAUGAAAUACGCAAAGUUUUCGUGUAAUGGCAGUGUCCAGGAGAAUGGUACAAUGAUUUUUUAAAGGUGGCUACGUCUUUAAUGACUCAUAUAUGUUUUAGUCUCCUUUAGUUCUAUCUUACCUUAAAUGGUUUGGAUGUUUACUGGUUUGUGAUUUUAUUGAUAGAUUGGUUGAAUGUGAAAUUGUUUGAUGGGUUUGGCCGUGGGGUGUGGGUUAAAAUGGGUCUAAGGAAUUAAACUGGUUUAAGCUUUUUAUAAAAAGUGAAGUUGGAUUGAGCGAGUCAUGAAAAUCUCAAGCGGCUUUCUUCUGGUUUUGAGCCAUGUUAGUUAUGGGUUUUAGGCUUCUUUGUUUAUAUGAUUUAUUUGUCUUGGAUGUUUUGUGGUGGUAGUAGUACUAUGCAAAGGUAAUAGUUUUUCUGUUGGUUCUAACUUGUAAAAGCCAAUUGUGGAUUACAGGAGAAAUUGUUCAUAGCACUUAAAUUAUUCCACCUACUCUAGCUUGUGAAGGGUUGUAUUUAGAUGCUGACUUUGAAAGUGGAUUAAAGAAUUAGAU
rnacentral:lncRNA from 1 species